GGGAUGCUUGAGCAGACAAGAAGACAGUAUAGAGACUGUUGGGUGUGAGUAAGCUCCAGCAGAGAAACUUUGACAUGAGACUACAGGCAGGAAAGGCCUGGGAGUGACCUGAAAAGGAGGAACUUCAGUGAUAGCAAGACUAGAACUGGGAUCCUCCCAUGAAGCACAAGCUCCUCUCACAGAGCAGGUAGCUCUCAACAGUAAACUGCCUAUGAUACACAGCUGAGCAGAUGAGCCCUGUUUCCAGUCGGUUGUGGCUGGAAUCAUACAAGAGGCUGCUUUGGCUGUAUUGGCCACAGGAAGUACCAGAAAUCUUACAAGAGAAACUGUUCUUUUAUGCUUUCUAUUAUGGAUAAAAAAAAC